rnacentral:rRNA from 1 species
AGCAGCCGCGGUAAUUCCAGCUCCAAUAGCGUAUAUUAAAGUUGUUGCAGUUAAAAGCUCGUAGUUGAAUUUCGGGAUUGACACAUCGGUCGUGCCUUAAGGGGUAUGAACUGGUGUAGUCAAUUUCUCACCUUCUGGAGAACCGCGAUGCCCUUAAUUGGGUGUCACGGGAACCAGGACUUUACUUUGAAAAAUUGAGUGUUUAAAGCAGGCAUUUUGCUUGAAUACAUUAGCAUGGAAUAAUAAAAUAGGACGGCAUGAUUCUAUUUUGUUGGUUUCUAGGAUCACCGUAAUGAUUAAUAGGGAUAGUUGGGGGCAUUAGUAUUCAAUUGUCAGAGGUGAAAUUCUUGGAUUUAUUGAAGACUAACUACUGCGAAAGCAUUUGCCA